GCGGUGGAGCAUGUGGUUUAAUUCGACGAUACGCGAAGAACCUUACCUGGCCUUGACAUACUAAAAAGCUUUAAGAGAUUAGAGUGUGCUAGCUUGCUAGAAUUUUAGAUACAGGUGCUGCACGGGCUGUCGUCAGCUCGUGUCGUGAGAUGUUGGGUUAAGUCCCGCAACGAGCGCAACCUCGUGUUUAGUUGCUAACAGUUCGGCUGAGAACUCUAAACAGACUGCCUACGCAAGUAGGAGGAAGGUGAGGACGACGUCAAGUCAUCAUGGCCCUUACGGCCAGGGCUACACACGUGCUACAAUGGGGUAUACAAAGAGCAGCGAUACGGUGACGUGGAGCAAAUCUAGAAAGUGCCUCUCAGUUCGGAUUGUAGUCUGCAACUCGACUACAUGAAGUUGGAAUCGCUAGUAAUCGUAGAUCAGCAAUGCUACGGUGAAUACGUUCCCGGGCCUU
rnacentral:rRNA from 1 species